rnacentral:tRNA from 1 species
GGCAAGGUAGCUCAGUUGGUUAGAGCGCUGGUCUCAUAAGCCGGAGGUCGAGAGUUCGAGUCUCUCUCUUGCUA